rnacentral:rRNA from 1 species
GAUGAACGCUGGCGGCGUGCCUAAUACAUGCAAGUCGAGCGAACAGACGAGGAGCUUGCUCCUCUGACGUUAGCGGCGGACGGGUGAGUAACACGUGGAUAACCUACCUAUAAGACUGGGAUAACUUCGGGAAACCGGAGCUAAUACCGGAUAAUAUAUUGAACCGCAUGGUUCAAUAGUGAAAGACGGUUUUGCUGUCACUUAUAGAUGGAUCCCCGCCGCAUUAGCUAGUUGGUAAGGUAACGGCUUACCAAGGCGACGAUGCGUAGCCGACCUCAGAGGGUGAUAGCCCACACGGGAACUGGGACACCGUCCAGACUCCUACGGGAGGCAGCAGUAGGGAACCUUCGGCAAUGGGCGAAAGCCUGACGGAGCAACGCCGCGUGAGUGAUGGAGGUCUUCGGAUCGUAAAACUCUGUUAUUAGUGAAGAACAAAUGUGUAAGUAACUAUGCACGUCUUGACGGUACCUAAUCAGAAAGCCACGGCUAACUACGUG